UUUUCUCACCCUUUUGUUCCAAGCCCAACUUCUCAUUUCAACUUAAUGGCCUUAUAUCUUAAUUACUUGUCUGCACCCCCUUUCAUUUUUCUUUUAUUAUUUAAUAUUUGUUUCUUUUGUUUUUUCAUGUAAAAUACCCCUACUAAUCUAAAAAUCUUCAAUUAACUCAUGAGUGAUCUUUUGAGUUUUAUUUAUUUUUCCAUUUUUU
rnacentral:lncRNA from 1 species